rnacentral:rRNA from 1 species
GGAGCAACGCCGCGUUGAACGAUGAAGGCCUUCGGGUCGUAAAGUUCUGUUGUCAGGGAAGAACAAGUACCGGAGUAACUGCCGGUACCUUGACGGUACCUGACCAGAAAGCCACGGCUAACUACGUGCCAGCAGCCGCGGUAAUACGUAGGUGGCAAGCGUUGUCCGGAAUUAUUGGGCGUAAAGCGCGCGCAGGCGGUUCCUUAAGUCUGAUGUGAAAGCCCCCGGCUCAACCGGGGAGGGUCAUUGGAAACUGGGGAACUUGAGUGCAGAAGAGGAGAGCGGAAUUCCACGUGUAGCGGUGAAAUGCGUAGAGAUGUGGAGGAACACCAGUGGCGAAGGCGGCUCUCUGGUCUGUAACUGACGCUGAGGCGCGAAAGCGUGGGGAGCGAACAGGAUUAGAUACCCUGGUAGUCCACGCCGUAAACGAUGAGUGCUAAGUGUUAGAGGGUUUCCGCCCUUUAGUGCUGCAGCAAACGC